AGAGCGAACGCUGGCGGCGUGCUUAACACAUGCAAGUCGAGUGCGCGCCUGUAGCAAUACAGGUGGCGCACGGCGCACGGGUGCGUAACACGUGGGUAAUCUGCCCUUCGGUGGGGAAUAACUCCGGGAAACCGAAGCUAAUUCCGCAUAACAUUCCUUGAACUUCGGUUUGGGGACUCAAAGCCGUAAGGCGUCGGAGGAGGAACCCGCGCACGAUUAGCUAGUUGGUAGGGUAACGCCUACCAAGGCUUUGAUCGUUAGC
rnacentral:rRNA from 1 species